GGAGAGCAGAAAGAGAAGAGGAGUUAAAGAGAAUGUGGGUGUGUCUAUGAACACAAGCACCGAUGAGACAGAAAGAAUUUGAGUUAUGAAUGAUACAUGGGCAGGCCCAGGAUUCACCUCUGACUUUGGUGAUAGAGAGGAAAGCAAGCAGACAAGCAUUGCCAACAUGGUCAGGGGGAUUGCUCUUCUAGAACCUUCCUUUCCGUUGUAUCUGCCCAUCCAGAACCCUGAGUCUCAUUCCAGGUCACUUAGUCCUAAUCCUCUUCCUAGCCUCAGAUGGACAGCUGACCUCGCUGGUGACCCCUGAGAUGGUAACAAGAGCCAGUCAACUGGCUGACUUUCUCCCCUGUGACGCCGUUCUGCCAUGCUGCCUCGCCUUGGAAUCAGCCAACUAUGGACUGAAACCUCUACAAACCAAGAGGGCUAUUACAGGUCAAAUGUGUCUUCCCAGAAGAUGUUGAAGUACUAACUGCCAGGAUCUGUGAGGGUGACUUUAUUUGGAAUUGAGUCUUUGCAGAUGAUCCAGUUAUGAGGAGUCAUGAGGCUGGGCCCCCAUCUGAUAGGACCAGUGUCCUCAGGAAAAGAGAAAACUUGGACACAGGAAGGAAGAAAGCGAUGGGAAGAUGAAGGCAGAGAUUGGGGUGAAACAUUUACAAGCCAAGGGACUCCAAAGAUCACCAGCGACCCUCAGAGCAGGGCAGAGGCCUGGAACAGAUUCUCCUUAGCAGCCCAGAGGAGGAAUCAUCCCUGCUGACACUUGGACCUCAGCCAUCCAACUUUCAGAACUGCGAGAUGAUAAAUGUCUUUUGAACCAUUCCAUCUGUGGGACUUUAUUCAACAGGUCUAGCGAAUCUGCCCAAGUGGGUGCUGUUUUCAAAGUGUCUGACUAACACCCUAAUGAGUCUUACUUUGUGUAGUUGAUAGAACAGAGUCAUCUUCAAGGCAAAGGCUGCUUCAGGUUUGAGGGAGAAGCUGGCCAGCUAAUUGAUGCCAAAUUCUCACCUCCCUAGUGCUGGGCAUUGGGAAGAGGAUGAUGCAGAUGGCCCUAGCUUCUGACCCGGAGGAGCCAGCAGUCUGAUGAGAACGCAGACUGCCCAGGUGACCGUGUGUUCGGUUAGUUCAUGGUGGGCACAUUUCCAUGUACCCAGGAGGGAGGGAAGCUCAUUAAAUGCUAGCUCUAGCAUCCUAAUCAAAAGGAACAAUGAAUAGUGUGAUUUUCAAAAUGGAUUUCUAGGUUGGAUGUUAAAGUCAACUGGUUUCUCUUUUCUAGUUGACUUCAAUUCUCUGUCUUGGUGGGCCCAGGACCAAGAGGUUUGGUAAGGUGAAACUGGGCUUUGAUUUUGUAGGAAUGGCAUAUAUUAUGUAAGCAUACAGGUCUCCAUUUCAAAAUGAAAAUAAUAAUAAUUAAGUUUCUCUAGGCUCCUUGUGUCCAAACCAGUCUUGCAAAACUACCUUUGGAUGAGCUCUAAGUGACAGCAAAUCAGAAACAUGUGGAUUUAAUUUCCUUUGAAAUACACCAGGGGGAGAAGGGGCAGAGGG
ensembl:lncRNA